rnacentral:rRNA from 1 species
UACAGAGGGUGCAAGCGUUGUUCGGAAUUACUGGGCGUAAAGCGCGUGUAGGUGGUGGCGUAAGUCGGGUGUGAAAUCCCUCAGCUUAACUGAGGAAGUGCACUCGAUACUGCGUCACUUGAGUGUUGGAGGGGAUGGCGGAAUUCCCGGUGUAGAGGUGAAAUUCGUAGAUAUUCGGAAGAACACCAGUGGCGAAGGCGGCUCACUGGCCCGGUACUGACGCUGAGGUGCGAAAGCGUGGGGAGCAAACAGG